rnacentral:tRNA from 1 species
AAUGGGAUGACUGAAUUUAGGUGAUAAAUUGUAAAUUUAUUUAUGGUGAAUAAUAAACCUCUCGUUA